CAAUAGCGUAUAUUAAAGUUGUUGCAGUUAAAAAGCUCGUAGUUGGAUUUCUGGUGGGAGCGAUCGGUCUGGCGCUUAGCGCGAGUACUUACAUCGUCUCCGGCCAUCCUUGGGGAGAGUCUGUCUGGCAUUAGGUUGUCGGGCAGAGGAUCCUCAUCGUUUACUGUGAAAAAAUUAGAGUGUUCAAAGCAGGCUUAUGCCGUUGAAUAUGUUAGCAUGGAAUAAUAAGAUAGGACUUUGGUACUAUUUUGUUGGUUUGCGCACCAAAGUAAUGAUUAAUAGGGACAGUUGGGGGUAUUCGUAUUCCGUUGUCAGAGGUGAAAUUCUUGGAUUUACGGAAGACGAACUACUGCGAAAGCAUUUACCAAGGAUGUUUUCAUUAA
rnacentral:rRNA from 1 species